GGUGCUAUACAUGCAGUCGAGCGAAUGACGAGAAGCUUGCUUCUCUGAUUUAGCGGCGGACGGGUGAGUAACACGUGGGCAACCUGCCCUGCAGACUGGGAUAACUUCGGGAAACCGGAGCUAAUACCGGAUAAUUCUUUUAAUCUCAUGGCUUUAAGCUAAAAGGCGCUUCGGCGUCACUGCAGGAUGGGCCCGCGGUGCAUUAGCUAGUUGGUGGGGUAACGGCCUACCAAGGCAACGAUGCAUAGCCGACCUGAGAGGGUGAUCGGCCACAUUGGGACUGAGACACGGCCCAAACUCCUACGGGAGGCAGCAGUAGGGAAUCUUCCACAAUGGACGAAAGUCUGAUGGAGCAACGCCGCGUGAGUGAUGAAGGUUUUCGGAUCGUAAAACUCUGUUGUAAGGGAAGAACAAGUGCGUUAGGAAAUGAACGCACCUUGACGGUACCUUAUUAGAAAGCCACGGCUAACUACGUGCCAGCAGCCGCGGUAAUACGUAGGUGGCAAGCGUUGUCCGGAUUUAUUGGGCGUAAAGCGCGCGCAGGUGGUUUCUUAAGUCUGAUGUGAAAGCCCACGGCUCAACCGUGGAGGGUCAUUGGAAACUGGGAAACUUGAGUGCAGAAGAGGAUAGUGGAAUUCCAAGUGUAGCGGUGAAAUGCGUAGAGAUUUGGAGGAACACCAGUGGCGAAGGCGACUGUCUGGUCUGUAACUGACACUGAGGCGCGAAAGCGUGGGGAGCAAACAGGAUUAGAUACCCUGGUAGUCCACGCCGUAAACGAUGAGUGCUAAGUGUUAGGGGGUUUCCGCCCCUUAGUGCUGCAGCUAACGCAUUAAGCACUCCGCCUGGGGAGUACGACCGCAAGGUUGAAACUCAAAGGAAUUGACGGGGGCCCGCACAAGCGGUGGAGCAUGUGGUUUAAUUCGAAGCAACGCGAAGAACCUUACCAGGUCUUGACAUCCCAAUGACCGUCUUAGAGAUAAGAUUUUCCCUU
rnacentral:rRNA from 1 species